rnacentral:rRNA from 1 species
CACGGGGGGAGCAAGGCGUUGUUCGGAAUCACUGGGCGUAAAGGGCGUGUAGGCGGUCAGGUAAGUGAGAUGUGAAAUGCCCCGGCUCACCCGGGGACCGGCGAUCUCAUACUGCUUGGCUUGAGUACGGGAGAGGAUGUGGGAAUUCCUGGUGUAGCGGUGAAAUGCGUAGAUAUCAGGAGGAACACCGGUGGCGAAGGCGCACAUCUGGCCCGAUACUGACGCUGAGGCGCGAAAGCUAGGGGAGCAAACGGG